UCCUCCGUGGCGCAAUUGGCUAGCGCGUCUGACUGUUACAAGCUCUUGUAGCUCAUCAGGAGGUUGGAAGUUCGAGCCUUCCCGGGGGAG
rnacentral:tRNA from 2 species